CAAGGCUGUAGACCCAGAGACUCCCUCUUACAGGGCUUGGAGAGCAGAGAAAGUAUUAGAGAAAAGCAGGAGCGUCUCUUCCUUGGGCUGUUUUGCACCCUUUUGUGACAGGCAUCUUCGAAGACACUGCCCCAGAGAAGAGGAGCUGCUGGCUUGGUCAUGAUGCACCGCCUGGGAUAUUUUAUUUUCUGCAGCUGAGGUAUAUUCUGGCUGGUUUACUAAAUGGGCUGUUCUCAGACUUUGCUACACUUGUUAAUCACUUAUGCCUCUGUGUGUGUCACACAGCACCAGUUCUUGCACUUCCAAAGAAGGUAAGGUAGAAUGAAGCAAAGCCCAGAGCUUGGUGUGGGCUAUGUUGAGGUGGCAGCUCCACUUCCCUGAGUGACUUGUGGCAGGUCAGAGGCUUGAUAACAGCCAAGAACAAAGAUGAGCUGUCAUCUGGUGUGCAUAUGGAAGCACUCCCACUGCAGACACUAUUUGGCAUACAAGACCUGAGCUAAGCACUUCAUGUGAAAGGUAACUGCAUUGGAAGCACACUGAGAUCAUUUUGUUCAUGGUUACUUCCAUGAUAAAACAACCUGCAAACUGUGAAAACUCUUUCCCUUAGCAACUUUUCUUUUCUCCCACAACUCCUAUUGUAUGAAUAUUCUUAUUCUAUGUCCUGAUAAAAAUGUGUUAUUUUG